CCUAGGAAAAAUAAGUCCUAUUUUCAAAAUUAGACCACAAACUCGUGUCUUCCUUUCUUUUGUAGGAAUGACACGAGGAAGACCAUCUGCCGAAUGUACUGAGUGACCUGAAGCCCCGAAUCACCCGACCAAGGCUAAAUUUUUGCUUCUUUGACAAAGUUAGAGGAAGAGAUGUUAGUUGAAGUCUUGAGGAGGCACAAAAAAGCAAUUGGGUGGUCGAUCUCU
rnacentral:lncRNA from 1 species